rnacentral:tRNA from 1 species
UUAGCUGAAACCAAAAAAUAGGUAAUUUAUUGUUAAUAAAUUAAUAGAAUAUUUUAUUCCUGCUAAU